rnacentral:misc_RNA from 1 species
GUGAAUCAUCAAAUCUUUGAACGCAAAUUGCACCCUCUGGUAUUCUGGAGAGUAUGCCUGUUUGAGGGUCAGUUCAAAUCAAAAUCGGUGUGGUUGCUGCCUUUCGUGGUGAAGUACCGGUCUUGGGUCGUCUUGCCUUUGGCUAAGUGACCUAAAAUCUUGCAUGUCUUUUUCGAACGUAUUUAAAUGACUCUACGUACGUUUGCGAUAUCGCAUACUCGGUGUGGUGACCCUCAUUAAUCG